UUACCAAGCAGCAGCAGAGCCUCUUUUGCUUUUAUUUUCUGAAGGGUUUCACUGGAGGGGUGCAAAGCAAGGACUGGCCCUGAAGGCCCUCGUGGGAUCUCCAGACAUUGCUCCUGUUGUAGCUCAGUGCUGAAGCUGCAUGCAAAGAGGAAGCAAAGCAGAAGGUCCCAGGUGCAACCCCCAACAUCUCCAGUAUGGACAGGACAGCUGGGAUUCUAGUGUAAAAGAAUUUUCAGAGUUUGGAGCCUGAAAGCAACAGGGGACAGUCUGAAAACCACACUUCCAGGAACUGCCCAGUACUGACAAGGCUGACUGGUAUAUCAUUUCUUACAAAUCCGCUGAGCUGAAAAGGCUGAAUAGUAUUAUAUCAGUUCUUAGAAUUCUACUGAAAAGGAAAGAGUUCCUGCAUCCGGCAAGUGUGCUCUAGUCCAGAAAGCAUAUGCUACAUUUUUUAAAGGUCUGAAUGAUGACCGUUUGCCCUUUAGACUGUUCUUGCCCAUGGUGAGUAGGCAUUUAUGGCACAUCUGUCCAACCACAGCCUUGGAACAGACAUACCUUGUGGUCUAAAGGUUUCUUAGUCUGAGCACUUUUAUCUGAGGAUCUUGCAGAAGCAAGCAAGAAAACAACAGCAAUAAUAAUGCUGGAGACUCUUCCUUCUCUUUCUUGGUUGAAUGCUGGCUUGCCUUCUGAGAUAAUCUGCAUUCUCUGGACACUUAGGACAAUUGAAGUGGCUUAACUAAAGGAGAGAAUUAUGA